rnacentral:rRNA from 1 species
UACGUAGGUGGCAAGCGUUGUCCGGAAUUACUGGGCGUAAAGGGCGUUGUAGGCGGUCUGAUAAGUCAGACGUGAAAUCUCCGAGCUUAACUCGGAACGGUCAGCUGAUACUGCUGUGCUAGAGUACAGAAAGGCAAUCGGAAUUCCUGGUGUAGCGGUGAAAUGCGUAGAUAUGUGGAGGAAUACCGAUGGCGAAGGCAGCCCCCUGGGAUACACUGACGCUCAUGCACGAAAGCGUGGGGA